UCCACAUUCUCUGGGAAGUAUUCUUGACCUACGGAGCUGCAAAUACUGCAAUACAGCUUUUGCUUCAAUACAGUUCUAAGGAAACAGCUUGUAUUGAGGCCUGCAGGUACAUCUUCUGGAAGCGUGCUAGUUGGUACUGUGGACCCUUUCAGAAGCAGUUAGGGGAAUGGAUUGUAUUGUUCAUAGCAGAUGGAGAUACAGAGCUGUGAUAACGACCUACAGAAUCUGGUGUAAUAGCUCAAGCAUUUUAUCCAGGGAACAACAGUGGGAUUUCAUAUGAACAGCCUGGGUUUAGAUUUAGUGUAAAAUAAUUAUUACAAGGUAAUUACACAGCUGUUCUUUCCAAUUAGAGUGACAAUUUAGGAUGAAAUCUGGUCAGAUUUUGAUAAAAUUCCUUAUAAGUAUUCACCUAUGAGAGUCAUGCUCUAUCUGAUGAAUAUCUUGGGUCCAUUGGUAUUGGAAACCAAGCAACACUUCAGAUUUCUUACAGUGAUCAAAUUACCCUAAUGCUGUACAAGACUUGGAUUUUGAAGGAAAGAGCUACAUGGUUGAAAGAUUUUU